rnacentral:rRNA from 1 species
UACAGAGGUGGCAAGCGUUGUUCGGAAUUACUGGGCGUAAAGGGCGCGUAGGCGGCCUUCUAAGUCAGACGUGAAAUCCCCCGGCUUAACCUGGGAACUGCGUCUGAUACUGGGAGGCUUGAGUAUGGGAGAGGGAUGUAGAAUUCCAGGUGUAGCGGUGAAAUGCGUAGAUAUCUGGAGGAAUACCGGUGGCGAAGGCGGCAUCCUGGACCAUUACUGACGCUGAGGCGCGAAAAGCUAGGGGAGCAAACGGGG